rnacentral:rRNA from 1 species
UGUCGAUGAAGAGCGCAGCCAACUGUGUGAAUUAAUGUGAACUGCAUUCUGCUUUGAACAUCGACAUCUUGAACGCAUAUUGCGGCCACAGGUUUUCUUGUGGCCACGCCUGUUCGAGGGUCG